rnacentral:lncRNA from 1 species
GAACCUGGAAGAGAGAGGAAUUAAUUAAGAUAAGAACACAAUUAAAUUAAAACAAUUCUUGAUAAUUUUUAUUCAAUUAAUUAGGAUUCACAAACUAGUUACAGGUUACAACAUUAAACAAAUAACAUUACUGAUAUUUAUAUAUAUGAACACUAAAGACACAGGAAAUUAACAGCAGCAGCAGCAGUAGAAGAAGAGGAAGAAGAAGAAGAAGAAGAAUUUUAUUAACUUUAAUGAAUAAUUAAUUAGGCUGGUAAAUUUGGCGGUCAGAUUCAGAAAAAAGAGUUGCAUGAAAAUGAGCUAUAAAAGCAGAGGUUUUGAUAGUAAUUCGAGGAUCAGCAACUCCCCAUGGACCUCGUCCAUCUUCAUCACUUCGAAAAGGCCUUGUUGUACUUGGAACGUCGUCGUUGUUAUCCUCUACUCGUCGUGUCCUUCUUGACUUGAAGAUGUUAAAGGCAGCUGCGAAAGAAAGAGAUGAUUUCUUGUUUUGCCGGUUGUUCCCACCCAUAAUGAUAGAUUUUCUUGCUUCUAAUGAUACAGACUAAGUGUACUUCUUUUCUUUGUUUCUUGAAUGUGGGUUAAUGAGUUUGGUUGAUGUCAGAAGGAGAGGGUUUGGUGGGUUUAUAUAGGCGAAGGGUAUUGGGCAAAAUAAUUAGAAAGUGGAGGGAAUCUUGAUUCUCAGGGAAGUUGGAUGGUGAAGACGAAAUAUAUGCAAGGCAAGGGCCAAGAAAUAACUAGUAGUGUGUUGGUAAAACUUUUGGCAAGGACACAUGUAUUGUUGUCCGCAACUUUGGACAUUGACCCUUUCAAGCUUUUUUUUUUUUUUUUUUUUUUUUUUGGGGUCUUCUCUACUUUUUUUGGCUCAACUCUUCCAUGAACUAGCAUCUUUUUGAUUUUCUUGGCACCUCUACUUUUAGUUUAGUAGUAUUGCUAUUGCUAUUGGAAUGUAAUGGUUGUAUUCAUUGCCUAAUUCCUGGACACUUCUUGCCAUUUUUUCUUCUCUUAAUUUCCAAGAAAUGGUUCACCCUUCUUCUUCUUCACAGAAUAAUUUUCCAUUCUUUAUACAUCAAAAAUUCUUAAAAGCUUAAUUAACGGUUCAAAUUUCAUUUCUGAUUUCUUGCAUCAUAAGAUAGACGCUCCUUUACAUUUUAUUUAUUGUCAAUUGAUUUAUAAUUCUAGUAAACUUUUAUCCGUCAAAUAUCAUAUUUCUUGUAGCACCCAUAUCAUAUAAGAUUAAACUUAAAAUUUCUACUAUCAUGAGUGAAAUUUGAAUUCAUAAUUUGUGGAAAUGAUCAUAAAUCGCUUGCCAUUAAACCAGACUUGUUUGUUGGUUUUUCUCAAAUUAGUGAAAACGGAGCGUUAAUGUGCGGGUUUUUAAUUUUAUUAGCUAAUAUUAGAGUUCGUAGAAUAUAAUAUAUAUGCAUAUACACAUGAGAAAUUAAAAUAAUUUGGAAAAAUAAUGUCACUUAUGAGUAGAUAAUAUUUUUUAUAACUCAAUUACUAUACAUCUAGAAUUAAUUUAUGCUUAAUCCUUAAACACUCUAUGAAUAAUUUAAAUGCUAAAAAUAUCAUAAUUAAGUAACUUUUAGCAUUUUGACAAGCUAAAUGCUAAUUUUUAUAGUAUUCUGUAACAUAAUAUUUGAAUUGGCUUUUAGAGAUUAAUGUAAUGUUUUAUAAAAAGUUAACUCAUGUGACAUUUUAUAAAAAUUAGCAUUUAGCUGGUGAAAACGCUACUUUAACCUUUAAACGUUAGUUCAAACUCUGCGUUACUUAACACUAUAAGAAAUAACAUUUAGUCAAAACACUAAAAAUUACUUAAAAAAUUAUUAUUGAACACAACCUUAAUCACUUUUUGCAUAAAGGAUUAUUAAUUGAUCAAUUAAUUUAUUUAUGAAAAUAAAUAGGGAUUAAGCAGACUAAGAAAGUGCUAACUUCUCAGAAGUGUGUAUUAUUCUUUGUUUGAUUUACAUUAUUAAUUCAAUUUCCGAAAAAAUGAUUAUAGAAUUAUCAACGUGGUACAUGGUAUUUGAAAAAAGAGAGAGCGGAAACAUUUUUUUAGGUAAGAAAAUUGAAAAAAAGAACAAAAUAUUUUAAUUUGUUAGAUAAAUAAUGAAUUGUUAGAAAUUACAUUAUUAGAAAUAACAGCUAAUGUGAUAUAAUUUAUGAAAAAUAUUAACUAAUAUGGCAUGAUUCUCUUAAUCAGGGAACUUAAAACUUAAGGAAGCAAUUUCUAUCAGUGAUUCUGUGAUGCCUAGUGGCUCUGAAAUGAUACAUUCCUCUAUAUAUUACAUCAAUGAAUAUAUAUAUAUAUAUAUAUAUAUAUUUUGAACUGAUACAUCAAUGAAUAUUAGUACUUGAGAACAUAUUAUUCAGUAUAUUUGAAAAAAAAAAAAAACAAUUAACCCUCACCAAUGGUUUUCAUUCAAUUGAUAUGAUAGAUAAAUUGAAAUAAAUACAAUAUUUUAAUUAAUUAUAUAGUUAUUAAAUUUAAAUUAAUUUGAAAAUUGAUCAAGUAUGUAGAUAUGAGAAAGAGUUGUUCUAAUUUCAAUUCUUAACUCUCCUUAUUUUAGCUUUUUCGUUUUUUUUUUUUUUUUGUAUUUUUCUUUAAAUAAAUUAUAGAUUUACAUCCAUUUAGAAUAAAUUCUAGGUUUAUAUCCAUUUAAAAUAUUUUCUAUAUUUUCUUAUUCUUUAUGAGCUGUUUAUAUAGGUUUAAAUUUGAUUCUUGAAAUUAUACUAUAUUUAUUUUUUGAAGGAAUUGAAAUUGAGUAAAAAUUACAAAAAUUCAUGGUUGUAAUUACCUAAUCAGGGGUAAAAAAAAAAAAAAAAAAAAAGAGAGAGAGAAAGAAACGACAAAAAUUAGGACAUUUUCAGAGAGUAGAAGUAAAAGGGUACAGAAAGAUUGAGAAACAAGAGAGGUACCAUGAACAAUAAUUUGUCCUGGAUAAACCACAACCCCUCUUCUUGGAAAUGUGUUGGAUUCCAGAAUAAGAGGAACAAUGUUAUGUCCAAGCAGCAUCUUCCUUAAUAAGAGAACCGUACAUCAAACUUUUUUAGUUCAAAAAACUUUAAUUGAAAUCAACGAAUCAAACAUUUCAACCUGAAUUUGAUUCAUAAAAUAUUUAAAUUAACUCAAUUUCAAUAUAUUUAACUUGGAAUUCGAAUAGUUUGGAUUCCAAUUUCAAGCUCAGUGAAGUUCAAUUUUAAUUAUUAAAAAAUAAUAUUAAAAAUUAAUUUAUGAACUUGAGGGGUUCUAUCUUGAUCAAAACCCGCAAUCAAAUUCUUUUAAACUCUUUUCUUUUUAGUUCUUUUUCUCAUGUUUACCAGCUGGUAAUAGAGUAGCUCAUUUCUUAGCUAAAGAAGCUCUCUUUUCUAGUUAUGAGAAGCUUACACAGAUAAAAGAAGUUCCCUCGUCUUUAAAUGUUCUUGUUCAGACUGAUUCAGCCUCUUUUGAUUUGUAAUAUAUAUCUUCUACAUUUAUCCUAAAAAAAAAAAAAAAUUCCGGCGAGCAAGUUGAGUUUGAGCAGAGAAAGUAUUAAAAAUCGAUAAAUCAAAUAUUAUCUCUGUUUAUAAUAAGAAUAUAUAUAUAUACUUUCACUUUGGUUUUAAAAAUGUAGAUACAAAGAUUCUUCCGUAGUGUACAUAGAUAUUCACUAUUUGUAGCUUCUUUGGAACUGAAAAUGAUACCUCCAAAUGCUAAACUUAGUGAACAAAAAUCUACAUUAGAAAGAAAAACACAAAACAAAACAAAACAAUCAAGAAUAUGAAUGAACCUGGAAGAGAGGAAUUAAUUAAGAUAAGAACACAAUUAAAUUAAAACAAUUCUUGAUAAUUUUUAUUCAAUUAAUUAGGAUUCACAAACUAGUUACAGGUUACAACAUUAAACAAAUAACAUUACUGAUAUUUAUAUAUAUGAACACUAAAGACACAGGAAAUUAACAGCAGCAGCAGCAGCAGCAGAAGAAGAAGAAGAAGAAGAAGAAGAAUUUUAUUAAAUUUAAUGAAUAAUUAAUUAGGCUGGUAAAUUUGGCGGUCCGAUUCAGAAAAACGAGUUGCAUGAAAAUGAGCUAUAAAAGCAGAGGUUUUGGUAUCAAUUCGAGGAUCAGCAACUCUCCAUGGACCUCGUCCAUCUUCAUCACUUGGAAAAACCCUUCUUGUACUUGGAACGUCGUCGUUGUUAUCCUCCACUCGUCGUGUCCUUCUUGACUUGAAGAUGUUAAAGGCAGCUGCGAAAGAAAGAGAUGAUUUCUUGUUUUGCCGGUUGUUCCCACCCAUAAUGAUAGAUUUUCUUGCUUCUAAUGAUACAGACUAAGUGUACUUCUUUUCUUUGUUUCUUGAAUGUGGGUUAAUGAGUUUGGUUGAUAUGAGAAGGAGAGGGUUUAGUGGACUUAUAUAGGAGAAGGCUAUUGGGCAAAAUAAUUAGAAAGUGGAGGGAAUCUUGAUUCUCAGGGAAGUUGGAUGGUGAAGAUGAAAUAUG